GUUAAUGUAGCUUAAUAAAAAGCAAAGCACUGA
rnacentral:tRNA from 1 species